rnacentral:rRNA from 1 species
GACGAACGCUGGCGGCGUGCUUAACACAUGCAAGUCGAACGGAAAGGCCCUGCUUUUGUGGGGUGCUCGAGUGGCGAAAGGGUGAGUAACACGUGAGUAACCUGCCCUUGACUUUGGGAUAACUUCAGGAAACUGGGGCUAAUACCGGAUAGGAGCUCCUGCUGCAUGGUGGGGGUUGGAAAGUUUCAGCGGUUGGGGAUGGACCUGCGGCUCAUCAGCUUGUUGGUGGGGUAGAGGCUUACCAAGGCUAUGAUGGGUAGCCGGACUGAGAGGGUGACCGGCCACAUUGGGACUGAGAGACGGCGCAAAAUACUACGGGAGGCAGCAGUAGGGAAGAUGCCACAAGGGGGGAAAGCGUGAUGGAGCAACGCCGAGUGGGUGAAGAAGGUCUUCGGAUCGUAAAACCGUGUUGUUAGAGAAGAAAGUGCGUGAGAGUAAAUGUUCACGGUUCGACGGGAUCUAACCAGAAAGCAACGGCUAACUACGUG